rnacentral:rRNA from 1 species
UCCCGAAUGGGCUCAUACAACAGCUAUUAUAUACUUGAUCUUGAUAUCCUACGUGGAUAACUGUGGUAAUUCUAGAGCUAAUACAUGCACCAAAGCUCCGAAUUUUUGACGAGCGCAUCUAUUAGAUUAAAACCAAUCGGGUUUCGGCCCGUUUGUUGGUGACUCUGAAUAACUAUAGCUGAUCGCAUGGUCUCGAACCGGCGACGUGUCUAUCAAGUGUCUGCCUUAUCAACUGUCGAUGGUAGUUUAUGUGCCUACCAUGGUUGUAACGGGUAACGGAGAAUAAGGGUUCGACUCCGGAGAGGGAGCCUGAGAAACGGCUACCACAUCCAAGGAAGGCAGCAGGCGCGCAAAUUACCCACUCUCGGCAUGAGGAGGUAGUGACGAAAAAUAACGAGACCGUUCUCUAUGAGGCCGGUUAUCGGAAUGGGUACAAUUUAAACCCGUUAACGAGGAUCUAUGAGAGGGCAAGUCUGGUGCCAGCAGCCGCGGUAAUUCCAGCUCUCAAAGUGUAUAUCGUCAUUGCUGCGGUUAAAAAGCUCGUAGUUGGAUCUGCGCCUCAGGACUUGGUCCGCCCACUGGGUGAGAACUGGGCUCCUGGGCUAGUUCUGCUGGUUUUCCCUGCGUUGCCUUCAUCGGUAGCGUAGGGUGGCUAGCGAGUUUACUUUGAAAAAAUUAGAGUGCUUCACGCGGGCUUAUGUCUGAAUACUCGUGCAUGGAAUAAUAGAAUAGGAUCUCGGCUCUAUUUUGUUGGUUUUCUGAUCUGAGAUAAUGGUUAAGAGGGACGGACGGGGGCAUUCGUAUCGCUGCGUGAGAGGUGAAAUUCUUGGACCGUAGCGAGACGUCCGACUGCGAAAGCAUUUGCCAAGAAUGUCUUCAUUAAUCAAGAACGAAAGUCAGAGGUUCGAAGGCGAUCAGAUACCGCCCAA